AGGGAAUCUUCGGCAAUGGACGAAAGUCUGACCGAGCAACGCCGCGUGAGUGAUGAAGGUUUUCGGAUCGUAAAACUCUGUUGUCAGGGAAGAACAAGUACGAGAGUAACUGUUCGUACCUUGACGGUACCUGACCAGAAAGCCACGGCUAACUACGUGCCAGCAGCCGCGGUAAUACGUAGGUGGCAAGCGUUGUCCGGAAUUAUUGGGCGUAAAGCGCGCGCAGGCGGUUCGUUAAGUCUGAUGUGAAAGCCCACGGCUCAACCGUGGAGGGUCAUUGGAAACUGGGGAACUUGAGUGCAGGAGAGAAAAGUGGAAUUCCACGUGUAGCGGUGAAAUGCGUAGAGAUGUGGAGGAACACCAGUGGCGAAGGCGGCUUUUUGGCCUGUAACUGACGCUGAGGCGCGAAAGCGUGGGGAGCAAAC
rnacentral:rRNA from 1 species